GGCGAGUGAAGCGGCAAAAGCUCAAAUUUGAAAUCCUUCGGGAGUUGUAAUUUGUAGGUUGGGAGACCCCGCGGCUAGUGGCACCAAGUCCCUUGGAACAGGGCGCCUUAGAGGGUGAGAGCCCCGUAGGUACCACAACACCGUCUUGUGUCUCCUCUCCAAAGAGUCGAGUUGUUUGGGAAUGCAGCUCAAAGUGGGUGGUAAAUUCCAUCUAAAGCUAAAUACCGGCGAGAGACCGAUAGCGAACAAGUACAGUGAUGGAAAGAUGAAAAGCACUUUGAAAAGAGAGUGAAACAGUACGUGAAAUUGUUGAAAGGGAAGGGCUUGCAAGCAGACACGGCCUUCGUGCCGGGCCAGCAUCGGUUGCUAGGGGUGGAUAAGGAACAAGGAAUGUAGCUCCUCGGAGUAUUAUAGCCUUGCGCGAUACACCCACUGGCGACCGAGGCCUGCGGUAUUCCUACCUAGGAUGCUGGCGUAAUGGUUGCAAGCCGCCCGUCUUGAACACAGGGG
rnacentral:rRNA from 1 species